ACUACUGGUGUUUUACGGCCAAAAUUAAUAAUGUAUCCUCAAUCUAUGAUUAUAACCAAUCUUGGACUGAUUCAUAUCUAAAGACCGAUCUCCAAUCUGCAUGCCAAUAAACAUUUCUGCUA